rnacentral:lncRNA from 10 species
AGCUGGAGUAUUUUGAGAUUGGAGAAUUAAGAGUGUGGGCACCCUGGCUUCAAGCUCACGAGAAACCAGAAGGAAGUCACUGUGCAUAGCCAUCCCCUAAGAAGAGGGCAUUCCUGCUCUUCCUUCUCCAUGGCUAGAGGAUCUACAUGAACUAUUUAGAUUUUUUCUACCUGGGAGAUUUAACUCCUCUCUCCUAUUUAUUUAUUUAUAUAUCAGCAUGGACUUGCAGGCCAACAGAGAUUUUGAGAAACACAUUGAAGGAUCUGUUAACACUUGAUAUACCCAAUAAAAGCAGUGGUUGUGCCAGUGCUGAUCUGUCUUGAUGUGAAUGUGAACAAUGGGAACCUGAGCUGAGCAGUUAAUGCUAGGGUGACAGAAACUGGACCUCUCCCAAGACAUGUGACAGAGUAAUACAGCAGCCAACUUCUUCGCCAAAUUAAAGUUUUACAAGAUUUAACCUGUCAUCAAGACCUGGGAUUUUGGUGAGCCAGUCUUGGUGCUCUGUGUUCACCUGGUUCAUCUGAGGAGCUGCAUCUACCCUGCCCAUGCCAUAGAUCCUGCCCUGUUUGCUUCUCCUGUUGCUGCUAGUGGACAUGAGGUAACCACAGCCUAGUUCUGUGAUAAGCUCUUCACACCUGUACCCAUAUGGACUGUGGGAGAGUUUCUCUGAUAUGGACUGUGAUGCGGAUCUUGGACAUGAUACCUGGAUGUGCAGCAGCCAUCUGGUAAUUAUGAGGUGACAAGUCAAUAGACUGAGAUGGUGGAGCAGCAAAGAUAGAAAAGAAGGACAGAAUAACGGGCUCCCAGAUUCACAAGCCCCACCAAGAGGAUCACCCCAGGAACGCUUGGAGGCUGAGGAGUUCACUGAGGCUACUGCAUCUUGAGACUCAGGAUGAAGACCCAGCUUGGGGCUGUCAAAGGU